GAAGUGUUAGUAAAUUAUUACAUCACCUUGUCAAGGUGAAAUAAUGGGUUAAAAUCCUGUACAUUUCU
rnacentral:tRNA from 1 species